rnacentral:rRNA from 1 species
GUUGACCUCGGAUCAGGUAGGGAUACCCGCUGAACUUAAGCAUAUCAAUAAGCGGAGGAGG